rnacentral:rRNA from 1 species
UACAGAGGGGGCUAGCGUUAUUCGGAAUUAUUGGGCGUAAAGGGCGCGUAGGCGGCCAUGCGUGUCUUCCGUGAAAUCCCUCGGCUUAACUGAGGACGUGCGGAAGAAACUGCAAGGCUCGAGUCCGGGAGAGGGGGGUGGAAUUCCCAGUGUAGCGGUGAAAUGCGUAGAUAUUGGGAAGAACACCGAUGGCGAAGGCAGCCAUCUGGACCGACACUGACGCUGAGGCGCGAAAGCGUGGGGAGCAAACAGG